rnacentral:tRNA from 1 species
GGGACGUUAGCUCAGCGGUAGAGCACUCGACUCUUAAUCGAGCGGUCGGGGGUCCGAAUCCCCCACGUCCCG